rnacentral:rRNA from 1 species
CGGGUACAACGAAGUCGCAAGCUCGCGAGAGUAAGCUAAUCUCUUAAAGCCGUUCUCAGUUCGGACUGUAGGCUGCAACUCGCCUACACGAAGUCGGAAUCGCUAGUAAUCGCGGAUCAGCAUGCCGCGGUGAAUACGUUCCCGGGCCUUGUACACACCGCCCGUCACACCAUGGGAGUUUGUAACGCCCAAAGUCGGUGGCCUAACCUUUAUGGAGGGAGCCGCCUAAGGCGGGACAGAUGACUGGGGUGAAGUCGUAACAAGGUACC